UGAGCGACCUACCUAAUUGUGGGGGAUAGCCGGCCCAACGGCCGGGUAAUACCGCAUACGAUCGGAGAGGGGCAUCCCUUUCUGAGGAAAGCCUUCGGGCGCAAUUUGAGGGGCUCGCGGCCUAUCAGCUAGUUGGUGAGGUAACGGCUCACCAAGGCUUCGACGGGUAGCCGGCCUGAGAGGGCGACCGGCCACACUGGGACUGAGAUACGGCCCAGACUCCUACGGGAGGCAG
rnacentral:rRNA from 1 species